CAAAUAUCGGGAGGGUUAUCCACUGUAAGCAUUUUCUUUGCCUCCCCGGAGCUUUCUGGAUGGGAGGAAGGAGGCCUUGCGAGCUCUGCACUGAUAAAUUGGAUCCACGGGGAAGCAGGAACACCCCCGUUCCUAGCAACAGGGCUGUGCUGUGGCCUUGCAUUCAUAAGAGCAAAGGCAAGUAGGAGAUUUUUCAGAAGUCUAUGGAAGAGAUGGAAAAAAGGGAAGGAAACACAUGAGAUUCACAUCCCAAAUGUUGAAGCAGAAGAUAAUAUAUUUGCCCAAUAGUGGAAUAUCUGGAGAAUUGUAUUCACCGGGGAGAAUCUGGGUUUUAGCUCCCUUUGAUGAUUCAGAUGGGAAACUGAGGCAGCAGCCGUUAUUAAUUGUUAUUACUCAUUCGUAUUUUUUCAUUAGCAUUACUAAGUAAGAGAGGGAACUGCAAUGGGUAAUUCAACACUUCAGACUCCCACGUUCCUGGCUCAAACUGCGACCUAAUAGAGAAUCUGCCGUGGGUUCAGAUCAAACCAAUAGAAGAUCUCUCCAAGGUGCUGAAUCUAUUUGUCAGCAUUGGGUUCAGCACCUUGGAUAGCUACUUCCAAAGCUAAUAUGGAAUGGAGCCUUGCUGGCUUUUGGUGUUGUCUAUGUCCAUACUGGUGCACUUUGAAUUAUUUUGUGACCAACAAUACAGGACAUUGUGGACAUUCAUGUAUUGAUGGGCAACUGCAUCUCGACUGCAAUGGUCCUAGAUGGGCUACCCAAUCCCAUAUGGAUUUGGCACAGGCAGGGCCAAACUCCAGCCCUCCAGGUGUUUUGGACUUCAACUCCCACAAUUCCUAACAGGCUACCGGCUGUUCUGGAACACAACACACCAGACAUCACAGUUGUGGAAAAGAAGAAGGAGACAGAAGGUCUGAUCCUUGCAGCCCAGGAGCAAGCCAUCAGAACAAAUGCAAUUAAGGCCAAGAUCAAAAAAUCAUCUGAUGACCCAAAAUGCAGACUCUGCAAGGAAACUGACAAAACCAUUGAUCAUAUCCUCAGUUGCUGUAAGAAAAUUGCACAGACAGACUACAAACAGAGGCACAACUAUGUGGCCAAAAUGGCUCAUUGGAACUUAUGCCUCAAGUACCACCUCCCAGAAGUAAAGAACUGGUGGGAUCACAAACCUGCAAAAGUAUUGGAAAAUGAACACACAAAGAUACUGUGGGACUUCCAAAUCCAGACUGACAAAGUUCUGGAACACAACACACCAGACAUCACAGUUGUGGAAAAAGAAAAAGGUUUGGAUUAUUGAUGUCGCCAUACCAGUCAAACUGAUGAAAAACAACAGGAAAAACUCAGCCGCUAUCAGGACCUCAAGAUUGAACUUCAAAGACUCUGGCAGAAACCAGUGUAGGUGGUCCCGGUGGUGAUGGGCACAUUGGGUGCCCUGCCAAAAGAUCUCAGCCAGCAUUUGGAAAUAGACAUUGACAAAAUUACGAUCUGCCAACUGCAAAAGGCCACCCUGCUGGGAUCUGCACACAUCAUCCGAAAAUAUAUCACACAGUCUUAAACGCUUGGGAAGUGUUCGACUUGUGAUUUUGUGAUAUGAAAUCCAGCAUAUCUAUCUUGUUUGCUAUGUCAUACUAUGUUGUUGUGUCAAUAAUAAUAAUAAUAAUAAUAAUAAUAAUAAUAAUAAUAAUAAUUUUUGUGAAACGAAAUCCAGCAUAUCUAUCUUAUUUGCUGUGUCAUCAUAAUAAUAAUAAUAAUAAUAAUAAUAAUAAUAAUAAUAAUAAUAAUAAUAAUAAUAAUAAUAAUAAUCUUUAUUUAUAUCCCACCAAAGGGACUUGGGGCGGCUUACAAAGGAACUCCAAGGUGCAGCAUAUAACAUAAAAUGGUACAGGAGUAUAAAAACAAUAUCUCAUAGAAAUUAUAACAACGACUGCUAUGUCCUCAUUGUGAAAAAAAGACCACACUGAUCCAGAAGAAGUCUCCACAGUCACUUACGAACCCAUCGCCAAGACUCUACCUCUGAAACAAAAUCAAACUCAUGGGAUAGAUAGUCUGGCACUCUUUAGCAGAGAAGGCUAAAGAAUUUGUAAAAUUACACCUCCUAGGAUUCUAUCACAUUGAGCCAUAACAGUUCAAGUGGAGUCAAACUGAAUUAAUUCUGCAGUGUCAAUGCAACCUUAGAAAAGCCGUAUUGGUUGAAAAUAGAGGAUCUCUAGACCUCUUUUGGUGGACACAAGGUCUUCCAUGGGUGCAAAUGAAUGCUCAUCAUUGGAUUCCUCUCCAGCAGCUGGGCGCAUUUGUCCGAUUCACAAAGAGACAUCUGCGCCACUGGAAGGUGGGAGGAAGGCUAGGAGUUCAAUGCUUGUAUUUUUUUUUUUUCCGGAGCACAUUCAGACUUCCACCCGGCCCCCAAAUUCCGUUAUGUGUGUUUAUUUCCUCGGGGAAACUGUCACUCUUGUAUUAUAAAAUAGAUGAAACAGCUGUUGCCUCUUAACAUUUUCCCCAAAACAAUGUGUGAUUUUAUAAGCCUCUCCUUCCCACCUCCGCCCUCCUAAGCCAUCUCUUUGAAAAACCCAGGGAGGAAAAAAAAAAAAGAGAAAGAAAUCCUAAUCUUUUUUAGCAUUUGCAAAGUAAAUAGUUCAACAGGAGAAAUACGUGCUGGGUUAUGUAUUGUCGUGUGUUAAGGGAAAGAAGUGUGUGGGUUGUUUGAAAUGUGACAAUUGGGUGCGGGUAACUAAAUUCCUAGCAUCUGCCGAGAACUAUGGCUUAUGUAAAUGCUACAAAGAAUUUUCUAGUUCGUACAUUGCAUAUCACUCAGCUGAGGGAAGUUAUGGUCCCUGGACAUCUAUGACCCUUUAAGUUUGGGGCAAAUAAAUAACAAUACCCAAUAGGUGUCCCCAUAGAGACUAUACUUUGGUGGUUGAGGUUCACUGGAAGUCAUAUAUCACUUCUGGUGGUCAUUUUGGCCAUGUGUCAAGCAUUUUAAUAAUAGCUUUGGGUUGCUAUGAGUUUUCCGGGCUGUCUGGCCAUGUUCCAGAAGCAUUCUCUCCUGACGUUUCACCCACAUCUACCACGGGCAUCCUCGGCGGUUGUGGGGUCUGUUGGAGACUGCGCAAGUGGGGUUUAUAUAUCUGUGGGAAUGUUGGAGGCAAGUGUGAAUGUUGCAAUCGGCCAGCUUGAUUAGCAUUGAAUGGCCUUCCCCCAGGCAGGAAGCAGCCAGGCUUUGAAGCUGCAAGGCUAUUCAAUUUGUCAAGGUGGCCAAUUGCAACAUUCACCGACAAGAGUUCUUUCUCCCGCCCUGGACUUCAUUCCACGGAUAUGUGAACCCCACUUGCGCGGUUUCCAACGGAUCUCACGACCUCUGAGGAUGCCUGCCACAGAUGUGGGCGAGAAGUCAGGAGAGAAUGCUUCUGGAACAUACCCUGUUUCCCCAAAAAUAAGACAUCCCCUGAAAAUAAGACCUAGCAGAGGUUUUGCUGUGUUGCUAAAUACAAGUUUUGUUGGCUUCGACUCGGUCUGGACUAAGGUUUAUGUACAAGGUUCUGUGGAUGAAUGGCUCAAGUAUUUUGUAUUGUUUUAAAUCUGUUUUUAACUGCUUAUGUUUUAUUAUUUUGUAUUGUUGUGUAUUGGCAUCAAAUUCUGCCAGUUUUGUAAGCCGCCCUGAGUCCCUUCAGUGAGAAGGGCGGGAUAGAAAUGAUGGAAAUAAAUAAAUAAAUAAAUAAAUUUUC